rnacentral:rRNA from 1 species
AGCGGAUAUUAGCUUGCUAAUAUUGUCAGCUAAGUGGCGCACGGGUGAGUAAUAUAUAGUUAAUCUGCCCCAAAGAAGAGAAUAAUUGUUGGAAACGACUUGUAACGCUCUAUAUGCCUUUAUUACAUAAGUAAGCAAGGGAAACAUUUAUGGCUUUGGGAUGAGACUGUACGGUAUCAGCUAGUUGGUGAGGUAAUGGCUCACCAAGGCUAUGACAUCUAACUGGUUUGAGAGGAUGAUCAGUCACACUGGAACUGAGACACGGUCCAGACUCCUACGGGAGGCAGCAGUGGGGAAUAUUGCACAAUGGAGGAAACUCUGAUGCAGCAACGCCGCGUGGAGGAUGACACAUUUCGGUGCGUAAACUCCUUUUAUAUGAGAAGAUAAUGACGGUAUCAUAUGAAUAAGCACCGGCUAACUCCGUGCCAGCAGCCGCGGUAAUACGGGGGGUGCAAGCGUUACUCGGAAUCACUGGGCGUAAAGAGCAUGUAGGCUGGUUUGUAAGUUGGAAGUGAAAUCCUAUGGCUUAACCAUAGAACUGCUUCCAAAACUGCAGACCUAGAAUAUGGGAGAGGUAGAUGGAAUUUCUGGUGUAGGGGUAAAAUCCGUAGAGAUCAGAAGGAAUACCGAUUGCGAAGGCGAUCUACUGGAACAUUAUUGACGCUGAGAUGCGAAAGCGUGGGGAGCAAACAUGAUUAGAUACCCUG